rnacentral:rRNA from 1 species
UACGAAGGGGGCUAGCGUUGCUCGGAAUUACUGGGCGUAAAGGGCGCGUAGGCGGAUACUUAAGUCGGGGGUGAAAGCCCGGGGCUCAACCCCGGAACUGCCUUUAAGACUGCAUCGCUUGAAUCCGGGAGAGGUGAGUGGAAUUCCGAGUGUAGAGGUGAAAUUCGUAGAUAUUCGGAAGAACACCAGUGGCGAAGGCGGCUCACUGGACCGGUAUUGACGCUGAUGUGCGAAAGCGUGGGGAGCAAACAGG